rnacentral:lncRNA from 1 species
AUGUCUGGAUGUUACGUCAGCAGCCUCAUGACAGCUGUUGCGGUGGGCAAAACUUGGUCGUUUGAGUUACAGAACCUUGAAAGAGUCAUGAAGACGGUGGGGGAGAGAGAGAGAGAGAGAGUCUUUGGCAGUUCUUCAGGGCCACAAGAGUGGGAGCAGAUAGCUUCUUCCUAUCUGGCAAAGUGGUUGAACCGGCCUUCAAGUGUGCCAAUGUGCAUCCAGCAUGAAGAGAGCGUGGCAAGCUACUCCCCUAUCCUAUAUCGAUUUACCUGCAAACAAAGCCAAAUCCUACAAGAAUCCCGGAAGACAACCUUCCACAAAAUGCCUUUCUUGUUGUGUUGGUCUGCCUGGGAUUACAAGGACGACCUGGAGUGGGAUAACUCAUGCUGAACACUGUGAUCUUUUAGUGAAUCCCCGGAGAAAUCUGCAAGGAUUGUCAGCUGCAUGGAAAGCUUUUGGGAGGCUAAAAAUAAUCUGUCUUGCAUUCAACAAUUGCUUAAGAGUUUUCCAUUGUAAAUGGUAGCAAAAAUUGAUGUAUCCCAUCUUCUGAAUCUUUCCCAAGUUUUAAUUAUGUCACAACUUGUAUCCUUUGUCAAUAGAUCUUUCGAAUUGAUUUGUCC